GAACCCGUGAAGGAUCAACAAGACACUGCUAAUGACUUGUCACCAAAGUUCAACUCUUUGGCAGGUUCG
rnacentral:tRNA from 1 species